rnacentral:rRNA from 1 species
CCUACGGGUGGCAGCAGUGAGGAAUAUUGGUCAAUGGGCGCGAGCCUGAACCAGCCAAGUAGCGUGAAGGAUGACUGCCCUACGGGUUGUAAACUUCUUUUAUAAAGGAAUAAAGUGAGGCACGUGUGCCUUUUUGUAUGUACGUUAUGAAUAAGGAUCGGCUAACUCCGUGCCAGCAGCCGCGGUAAGACGGAGGAUCCGAGCGUUAUCCGGAUUUAUUGGGUUUAACGGGAGCGUAGAUGGGUUGUUAAGUCAGUGGUGAAAGUUUGCGGCUCAACCGUAAAAUUGCAAUUGAUACUGGCAGUCUUGAUUCCAUUUGAGUUCGGCGGAAUUCGUGUUGUCGCGG